ensembl:lncRNA
AAGAAUAUGCAUAUCCUUGCUUCAGGGCCUGAACUACAGGCAGUUAGAUUUGGGUAUGCCAUUUUAGGUGAAAAUUGAAAAAAAUUGACAAAACGAAAGAGACAACACAGAGACAGCAACAGAAGAAUGGGUGAUGGAGAAAGACACCCCAGACAAGACAUAGAGACCGGAACAGAAGAGGAGAGACACAUCGCACAAGACAGAGACAGCAACAGAAGAAUAGGUGAUGGAGAAAGACACCUCAGACAAGACAUAGAGACCGGAACAGAACAGGAUAGGCACAUCGGACAAGAAAGAGACAGCAACAGAAGAAUAGGUGAUGGAGAAAGACACCCCAGACAAGACAUCGGGACCGGAACAGAAGAGGAGAGACACAUCGGACAAGACAGAGACAGCAACAGAAGAAUAGGUGAUGGAGAAAGACACCCCAGACAAGACAUAGAGACCAGAACAGAAGAGGAGAGACACAUCGGAC